rnacentral:piRNA from 1 species
UCCAGAGCCAAAUGAUCCGCAGAAGAAC